rnacentral:rRNA from 1 species
AGUGAACGCUGGCGGUAGGCCUAACACAUGCAAGUCGAACGGCAGCACAGUAAUAGCUUGCUCUUACGGGUGGCGAGUGGCGGACGGGUGAGGAAUACAUCGGAAUCUACUUUUUCGUGGGGGAUAACGUAGGGAAACUUACGCUAAUACCGCAUACGACCUACGGGUGAAAGCAGGGGAUCUUCGGACCUUGCGCGAUUGAAUGAGCCGAUGUCGGAUUAGCUAGUUGGCGGGGUAAAGGCCCACCAAGGCGACGAUCCGUAGCUGGUCUGAGAGGAUGAUCAGCCACACUGGAACUGAGACACGGUCCAGACUCCUACGGGAGGCAGCAGUGGGGAAUAUUGGACAAUGGGGGCAAGCCUGAUCCAGCCAUACCGCGUGGGUGAAGAAGGCCUUCGGGUUGUAAAGCCCUUUUGUUGGGAAAGAAAAGCAGCAGGUUAAUACCCCGCUGUUCUGACGGUACCCAAAGAAUAAGCACCGGCUAACUUCGUG